CAAAGGUUUUGAAUUCGAGAGCAGGUGCUCUCAUCUUUCCGAGAGUUAAGGCUGCUUUAAGGAUCUGAUAGAAGCUACUACAGGUCUUCUUCAGAAAAAUUCAAAUAUUCACAUACAGAUAUCUCAAUAAAUGAAGUUCAGUCCUGAGGUUACCAAGACCUGCUUGCCUGAAGUAACUUCUCAGGUUGGGUGAGAAUUGGCACGUAAAAAUUUUGCUGCCUGAUUUCCCCAUCACUUAUUACAGCUGGCAGAAAGUUCAUAAAAGAAUAGAGAUAACUGUCAAAGCACAUUAGCAGUUGCAAAGAAAGAGACAAAAGAAGAAUGCCACCAUUAUUAUUUAUAGUUGUUCACUGGGGUGAGUUGAGUUUUACUUUUUCCUACCUGAAAAGUGGAGAAAAUAUGUCAUCACUACAUAUUGCACUUAUAACCCCAUACUGCUGGGUUGUA